ACUCCUACGGGAGGCAGCAGUGGGGAAUAUUGGACAAUGGGCGCAAGCCUGAUCCAGCCAUGCCGCGUGAGUGAUGAAGGCCCUAGGGUUGUAAAGCUCUUUUGUGCGGGAAGAUAAUGACGGUACCGCAAGAAUAAGCCCCGGCUAACUUCGUGCCAGCAGCCGCGGUAAUACGAAGGGGGCUAGCGUUGCUCGGAAUCACUGGGCGUAAAGGGUGCGUAGGCGGGUCUUUAAGUCAGGGGUGAAAUCCUGGAGCUCAACUCCAGAACUGCCUUUGAUACUGAAGAUCUUGAGUUCGGGAGAGGUGAGUGGAACUGCGAGUGUAGAGGUGAAAUUCGUAGAUAUUCGCAAGAACACCAGUGGCGAAGGCGGCUCACUGGCCCGAUACUGACGCUGAGGCACGAAAGCGUGGGGAGCAAACAGGAUUAGAUACCCUUGUAGUCCC
rnacentral:rRNA from 1 species